AGAGCGAACGCUGGCGGCAGGCCUAACACAUGCAAGUCGAGCGCCCGUAGCAAUACGGGAGCGGCAGACGGGAUAGUAACACGUGGGAACGCGCCCUUCGGUUCGGAAUAACUCAGGGAAACUUGAGCUAAUACCGAAUACGCCCUUACGGGGAAAGAUUUAUUGCCGAAGGAACGGCCCGCGUCCGAUUAGCUAGUUGGUGAGGUAAUGGCUCACCAAGGCUACGAUCGGUAGCUGGUCUGAGAGGAUGACCAGCAUCACUGGGACUGAGACACGGCCCAGACUCCUACGGGAGGCAGCAGUGGGGAAUAUUGGACAAUGGGCGCAAGCCUGAUCCAGCCAUGCCGCGUGGAUGAUGAAGGCCUUAGGGUUGUAAAGUCCUUUAACGGGAAGAUAAUGACGGUACCCGUAGAAUAAGCCCGGCUAACUUCGCGCCAGCAGCCGC
rnacentral:rRNA from 1 species